rnacentral:rRNA from 2 species
AUGAUUUUGGAUCCGACUGAGUGGCGAACUGGUGAGUAACACGUGGGUAACCUGCCCAGAAGAAGGGGAUAACACCUGGAAACAGAUGCUAAUACCGUAUAACAACAAGAACCACAUGGUUCUUGUUUGAAAGCUGGCCUUUGUGCUAGUGCUUCUGGAUGGACCCGCGGCGUAUUAGCUAGUUGGUGAGAUAAUAGCUCACCAAGGCAAUGAUACGUAGCAGACCUGAGAGGGUAAUCUGCCACAAUGGGACUGAGACACGGCCCAUACUCCUACGGGAGGCAGCAGUAGGGAAUCUUCCACAAUGGACGAAAGUCUGAUGGAGCAACGCCGCGUGAGUGAAGAAGGGUUUCGGCUCGUAAAACUCUGUUGUUAGAGAAGAACAGCCGUGAGAGCAACUGCUCACGGUAUGACGGUAUCUAACCAGAAAGUCACGGCUAACUACGUGCCAGCAGCCGCGGUAAUACGUAGGUGGCAAACGUUGUCCGGAUUUAUUGGGCGUAAAGGGAGCGCAGGCGGUUUAUUAAGUCUGAUGUGAAAGCCUUCGGCUUAACCGGAGAAGUGCAUCGGAAACUGAUAAACUUGAGUGCAGAAAAGGAUAGUGGAACUUCAUGUGUAGCGGUGAAAUGCGUAGAUAUAUGAAGGAACACCAGUGGCGAAGGCGGCUAUCUGGUCUGUAACUGACGCUGAGGCUCGAAAGCAUGGGUAGCAAACAGGAUUAGAUACCCUGGUAGUCCAUGCCGUAACGAUGAAUGCUAGGUGUUGGAAGGUUUCCGCCUUUCAGUGCCGCAGCUAACGCAUUAAGCAUUCCGCCUGGGGAGUACGACCGCAAGGUUGAACUCAAAGGAAUUGACGGGGACCCGCACAAGCGGUGGAGCAUGUGGUUUAAUUCGAUGCUACGCGAAGACCUUACCAGGACUUGACAUCUUCUGCCAUCUAAGAGAUAGA